rnacentral:lncRNA from 1 species
AAUAAAUGGAAGCACUUGAAUAAUAUUAUAUUCAUUAUUAACAUUACUCAUUUAAUAAUUAAAUAUAAAAUUUUAUAUUUAUUAUUAGACAUUAAAAGUAAAAAAUAUUAAAAUACAUGUCCAUUUAUCUCAAACAUUUCAUUUCAACCUACUUUACUAUUUCAAAUUAAAAAAAUUUAGGCUCUAAAUUAUAAUACUUAGAAAAUGGCCCCUCU